CUUCGGUGCCGGCCGAGGCGUGCCUCCUGCCACAGGGAGGAGAGCCCCCGGGGGUCCGGUCCACACAGCCCUCGCUCGCCCCUGCCCUGAGCCACCCGGCCUCUGCUGCUCGCUGGAAAGGCUCUGGAAUUCCUGAUUCCACAUCAUCUGUGCGUGUCAGGCCCGGCACACUGUUCCAGCCAGCUGUCUCCAACCCCCCGGGGUCCCCUCCUGUCUGUGGCCGGGGCUCCCCUGACCCGUGGCUGCUGCUUCCUCGGGCCGCAGGCUCCAGAGGAAAGCAGACGAGCCGGGUCUGGACCUGCCGGGUGUGUUCCCAGCGUUCUUCUGAGAGAGGUCCUGCAGCUGCCCCCACCCGUGCCCCCCUGUAUCCCCAGGCCUGGCCAUCCCGGCACCACCCCCUACUGUCACAGAGCCCCCCCCCCCCCCCCCCCGCACCCCGCACCCCGCAAGCCACUGCCUGUGAGGCCGGAGCACAGACGGCGUGGGAAUUACAACGUCGACCCUGAGAGCCCGCACCUCGCCUCUUCGUGAUCAUCUCUGGAAAAGGGCUAUCAUGCGUGUAUUUUGAAUCACUUACGACCCACCUCUGGUUACCCGGUACUGUGAGGAGAGUCGGGGCCACAUUCGCACGUGUAUUUACCACUGAGGUGCCACGGAGCAGGGACGUUUGGACUAUCACGAGGACAG